CGUCUCCUGCAGUGUUCGAUCCGGGCCGAUAGAUCUUUCGAUCCUAAUUAAUGACGCAGGGGUUGCGACUGUCGACGGCAGUGCGCAGAACCGCUUCGGGCGGGGAGCCUUAGCUGUCACGAGCGACCCCACCUAUUGCUCAGGUUCGAGAGCAACGGUUCGGAACGGCACAGGCGGGAGACGC
rnacentral:other from 1 species